rnacentral:misc_RNA from 1 species
AAUCAAUCAGCAACUCCAAAUCCUCAACUGUACAUACAAUUUGUAACAAACUAUCAGAACCCUGAAGGUCAGAUGAGGCUAAGGGUUACAACCAUUACGCGAAGAUGGGUAGAUGGUUCAAACAAAGAGGAAUUAGUUGAGGGGUUUGACCAGGAAACAUCAGCUGUUGUAUUGGCAAGAUACAUAUCAUUGAAAAUGGAAAUGGAGGAAGAAUUUGAUGCAACACGAUGGUUGGACAGAUCGCUCAUCCGCCUUUGUUCACGAUUUGGCGAAUAUCGGAAAGACGAUCCUGCUUCGUUUAAUAUACAUCCUAAUUUUUCAAUAUUUCCACAAUUUAUGUUUAAUUUGCGUCGGUCACAGUUCGUACAGGUUU